GGGUGCUUAGCUCAGUUGGUAGAGCGGCGCCCUUACAAGGCGUAGGUCGGGGGUUCGAACCCCUCAGCACCCA
rfam:Burkholderia rhizoxinica HKI 454, complete genome